CAACGAAUAUUCCGCAAUGGGCGCAAGCCUGACGGAGCGACGCCGCGUGGAGGAUGAAGUCUUUCGGGAUGUAAACUUCAAUAGUUUGUCAGGAAGUGAAUCGACCUAAUACGUCGGUAAGUUGACCGGCAAAUGACAGGGGCGGCUAACUCCGUGCCAGCAGCCGCGGUAAGACGGAGGCCCCUAGCGUUGUUCGGAAUUACUGGGCUUAAAGCGCGUGUAGGCGGAACGGUAAGUGCUUUGUGAAAUCCCCGGGCUCAACCCGGGAAUUGCUCGGCAUACUGUCGUUCUUGAGGCAGGUAGGGGUCACUGGAACCUUAGGUGGAGCGGUGAAAUGCGUAGAUAUCUAGGGGAACGCCGGUGGCGAAAGCGGGUGACUGGGCCUGUCCUGACGCUAAGACGCGAAAGCGUAGGGAGCAAACGGGAUUAGAUACCCCGGUAGUCUACGCCGUAAACGAUGCGCACUAGGCUCGAGAGUCUCUGACGAUUC
rnacentral:rRNA from 1 species